UCCUAAGGAGUUGGGAUUUCCAGCACUGUCAACGCCAUACAAGAUCAACGGCAUCCUCUGGCUAUUGUCCUUCUUCUUCGUGCGAAUAGUCAUAACACUGUUUGUGGCUUGGUACAAGUUUGCUCCCUUGAUGCUGACAAGUGAACUAUAUGAGCAGGUUGAAGUCAUUACCCUGGUCGCUAUCUUCACCGGUGGUCCAUUCUUCAACAUCCUCAGUGUCUACUGGUUUAUCAAAAUAUGGCAGGGGACAAUAAAAGUUCUGAAGAGUGGACAGAAAAACAUCUAAACAUCAAGCACCAUGUUUAGUAUCAGUGCUUUGUGGGAGGUUCCUUGUCUACUGCUGGUAAAUGCCCUGCAGGAUAUCCAGGUUUAGAGGCUCUAAAGUGACGUGCAUUUGAUGAAAUGUCAGGAAUUAGAAUACAAUCUAAGUUAAUCUGUUCUGUCCUGUCCUGUCCUGACAAUAACAAGUAGCUAUUUGAAGCUUACUUACCAGUCCUUUGAUGGGUGAAGUCUGUAGGAUCACUGUGAUUUAGUCUCUUUGUAGGUCUGCUAGAAACUAAAAGGUUACACUGACCUACACAAUGUUAAUAAGUGUGAUGCUGCUGUGCUGUUUCACCUAAGUUGGUAUUUGAAACGUAACCUUGUAUUGGUAUGUCUACCUCAAGCAUGUUAAAGAUACCACUGCACUUAGUGAAAUCAUACUGAAUGGUAUUGGUGCUAUUAAAAGUGUUGAUGUAUGAUAGGAUUCUGUUGCAAGUGGUAACAGUUUGCCUACUUGUUUGACCUUUUCCCGGCUGCCCUUUUCUGUCACCCAUUUUGCCUUGGUGACAGCAGUAGGCAACAGGAGAGCAGUUAAAUCUCUCCUUCCUGUAAACUUCUCCAAGGUCGGUGCAAACGGGUCAGAUAUCUGUAAGUUUUAACCUUUAGCACACUGCAGUACCAUUUAGGCUACCAAUGUUAAGUUGCUCAGGCUGUCAGGGUUAGUAGGGAGAGCUUUAAAAAUGUUACUCAAAAUGUAUUUAAAACAUGGAAUUUAAUAAGAAAUACAAGAUGCAAUGUGGUUUUGUUCCAUCUAAAACUGAACAAGAAACGUAGUGACACUA